UAUUUUAUUUCUUAUUACAGAUUUAUCUGUACAACAGACAGGACAUCAUUGAGACUGACCUGAAGUCUGCACUUCUAGAUGCUCACAGUAAUCAGACGUCUUUCCUGGAGUCCCAGAAGGCUCUGUUCAUCCGUCACAAAAACCGCCUUGCUGUGGUCCGAGAACUCAAAGCAAAGGCCAGACUGGAGUUAUUUGAUGAGGACGGCCCCGACUGUGCAGACGCUGAGCUCUACUCAGAGGCCAGCAGCGUCUUGACCGGCAGCCAUCUUGGCUCAAAAUACUCCCGCAGCAACUCUCGCAUUUCAUCGAGGUCGUCUAAGAAUCGUAGGAAAGCAGAGGGAAAGAAACACAUUCUAAAGGAGGGAAGCCCAUUUGAGGACAUCGCCCUCCUGAACGCACUUAUUCAAAUCAUCACCAUUGUUGAUAAGAU